rnacentral:lncRNA from 1 species
CUAAGACCUCUCAAGGUACCAGUGGGACACUUCAGUGAUGGAUGUCAUAGAAGGUCUAAGUCCUGUCUGCUUCAUUGACUCCCAGGUGACUAGGGACAGGCCUCUACAGCCUCUCUCAUGUAUAAAAUGGGAUCCAGAAUAGUGACCACCUUGUGGGGUAGGAAAUGAAGGGCCAUGUCACAUUGGUUACUCAGGAGAUGGGAAGGGGCAGAUCCAGCCUGGCCAUGCCCACGCUCUCCCAGCCCAGGUUCCUGUCCCUUUGCUCUCACCUGGUGUUCUCUGAGAAGAAAUGUAUGCCCUGCAGCAAGCUGGUCCCUAAUCAUGACCCUGGCACUGCCCUGCAAGAGGCUGCUUCUUGACUGGGCAGUAAUUAGUAGGGCCAUGCCUAAGUCCUUGAGUGAGUAAGGUUCAUUUUCCUUCACCCAGGAAUGUCCAGAAGCUAGACACAGACAUGACACUGCUGCCCACCUGAGCAGCUCCUUACCUGCCUUCUGAGACUAUGAGUGGCCGAACACCAUGGAAGCACAAACUAGGAGCCAGUGGAGGAAAAGUAGAGCCCAAAGUCUCUUUUGUGGAUAGGUUUCUGAAUAAGGGUUAGGCAUCUUGAUCUUAGGUGGAGAAAGUAUGGGGGAGGGUGGGGCUGAGGAUGCCCACAGGUACUGUGGGUGCUAAGAGAGUGAAGGCUUCAGUAUAGCAUGUAGUUCUAGGAGUGACCACAUGGAGGCAGCAGAGGGUAGGACCAAUGAACAUUUUGAGGGAAGGGACUGUGCCCUGUCCCAGAUGGCUGGGGAUGGCAAUCUCCUCCACAACCUGCUGCAAGCAGGUGUGGUGACAGAGUUCAGGACUCCCACUCACUGAGCCUUGCACUUAAUAAAGGGCCCAGGACAGAAAUAGAAGAGCUUAGAGGCAGUGACAGUUCCCAUCUGGAGGGCUUCCUGGAAGAAAAGCAUGAUGGAGCUUAUAUAAGGAAACAGCUGACAGGAAUUGGAAGGAUGAAGGGUCAUCCAAGAAAUUAGAGGAAUAAUGAGGUCAGUUUCCUUUCUUCCCAGAUCCCUCCCCGCCUUGUCCUUAGACUCCUCUGAACUUGUAACUUGGGGCAGGGUGGUGCUCCCUGCCGCUUGGCCAUUGAGCUGGUACUUUCCUCUCUGCAGAUGAGGUAAAGUCUCAUUUCCCAUUGCCUGAGUCCCCAGUGCAUCCCUGUGCCAAACCAGGCCAGGUUAGCCACCUCAGUCAAUAAAAGGUUGGUUUCCUGGUCAAGGCCUGAACAUGUAGGUACAGGCACCCAAGGAGCCCAGGAGGGCUGGGGCAACUUCAUGGCUCAGUAAGUCUAGCAGAGGGUGUCCCAUUCAGGGUAAAAGACAGGUUAUAAUCCAUCCAUGGUGACACACACCUGUAGUCCUAGCUACUCAGGAGACUGAGGUAGGAGAAUUACUUGAGUCUAGGAGUUUGGGGCCAGACUGGCAACAUGGUCAGGCCUCCUCUCUCUCUCUCUCUCUUUUUUUUUUUUCUUUUAAAAAGAAAAAAAAAAGCAGAUUGUAUUCUCAGAGCUCUCAUUUAUCAGAGAGGGUAUCUCAGGCUCAAAGGGAGAGAUUGGUAGUUGUGUCUAAGGAGCAGUGGGUGGGUUAGGGGGCCAACCAAGAUGACUAUGCUGCUACACCAUGGCAUUUGAGUAAAGCAUGGACAACUUCAGUCUCCCCUGUCCAACCUAUUUCCCUCUAGGACAUGACCUAUAUCCCCUCCCCAGUAGGAGAAAAGGGCACACUGGCUGCGGCCUUAGCCCCAGACAUUUCCAUUGCCAGGGGCAGGCCAGGAUGGGAAGUCCCGCCACCUGACAGGGGCUUUCCCAGGGUCCCAAAGGAGAUAGAGGUACUACUAGUCCCUUACAAAGGUACCAGAAGGUACCAGAACAAAGCACAGAUGCUCUACAGACAUCAAAGGUAGGGACCUCCACCUCAGAGAGGUGGUCUCUCAAACAGCAGCCACAGAGCUUGCUGGAUAGACAACAGUGGGAGGUUUGCAAAUGGUCCCCCACAGGUUGGACUGACAGAUCAUCCAAAUCAAAGCCCUGUGGCAUGCUAUCCCCCUCGAAUAAGUCAGGAUAAGAGAGAUGGUAAUCCAAGGAGAGCCAGGGGAUCAGAUAAUUGCCAGUGAAGCACCCACAGGAUUCUGGCAACAUCCCAGGCAGAGGGAUUAAAGUGAGGGAUGUGCUUCUGGAACCAGGCCCAUAUCCACACAGAAGCAGGAACUAUGCAGGCCUGUUGGCUCACCCUGACCAGAGUCACAAGGGCAUUGGUCCUGCUGCAGACUCCCCCAUCAACUGAAGCAGAAAGAAGCAUCUACUUCUCUCCUACUGCCCUCCAGCCUCCCCCUAGGGCUUCCAAUUGGCUGGGCACAAUUGAAAACAGUAGACACAGGAGAGGGUGAGGAGGAUUCCCACUAAGUAUAGGAACUGUCCCCUCCACAUCUGCCAGGUCAGACAGUUUCUUUCAAAAGCCCUAGGGUAGACUGGGCAUGUAGCUCAGUGGAAAAGUGCUUGCCUAGUGUGGGUAAGGUCCUGGGUUCCAACCCCAGCACUAUGAAGAAAAAAAGCCCUAUGGUGGCUGAGUUUCUGGGGUGGACCAGACCCCUGCUAGGCUCUCUGGGGGACCUAUCUUCAGGUCCAAAGCUGCCUGAAGAGGAGGAAAUGGUCAUGUAGGAUGUUGUGGGAGUAGGAAGUUAUGGGGCUUCUUGGAGGAGUCUGUCUCCAGCCAAGUGUCUAAGGUUGAAAACCAAUUAGGGAAGUGAAGUUGAACAGGUAACUGCUAGUAGCUCAGACCCAUCUUCCAGUUGCACGCUAGAUAUAUUUCCCAACCCCCUUUGCAGCUGGGGGUGAUCAUGUAAUUGGGUCUAGCCAGGGCCAUGUGAGCUGAGGAUUGGAGAGAUUUCCAACCCAGGCCCAUAAGAAACCUCCCAACCUCCCACUGACACCUGCCUCCAGAUUCUUUCCUUUGCACGGAUGACUUUGGAAACCAUGUCAAUGUGGGUCUCUGCUAGGUCCCCAGCAUGGAGGAGGACCUACACACAUACAUACUCACAUGGUCAUCCUAUACUGUUCUGGAAAUAAGAAAUAAACUUCUGAUUCAGCAGGAUAUGUUGGUUGAAUGUGGGGCAUGGGGGUUAGUUUUGUUGCACCAGUGAGUCCCUCUAACAAUUCACCAGAAACAGAGGUAUGAAAAACUGCCCUUCCAAUUUUCAUUA